CGAGGCGAACGCGGAGAACUGAAACAUCUAAGUACCCGUAGGAAAAGAAAUCAACCGAGAUUCCGAAAGUAGCGGCGAGCGAAAUCGGAACAGCCCUUAAGCUUAUUAUGUGUUAAUGGAAGGCUCUGGAAAGUGCCACGAUACAGGGUGAUAGUCCCGUACAUGAAAAGACAUUUUAAGUGAAAUCGAGUAGGUCGGAGCACGUGAAACUUUGACUGAAUAUAGGUGGACCAUCAUCUAAGGCUAAAUACUCCCAACUGACCGAUAGUGAACCAGUACCGUGAGGGAAAGGCGAAAAGAACCCCUGUGAGGGGAGUGAAAUAGAACCUGAAACCGUGUACGUACAAGCAGUAGGAGCCCACUUGUUGGGUGACUGCGUACCUUUUGUAUAAUGGGUCAGCGACUUAUAUUUUGUAGCGAGGUUAACCGAAUAGGGUAGCCGUAGGGAAACCGAGUCUUAACUGGGCGACUAGUUGCAAGGUAUAGACCCGAAACCCGGUGAUCUAGCCAUGGGCAGGUUGAAGGUUGAGUAACAUCAACUGGAGGACCGAACCCACUAACGUUGAAAAGUUAGGGGAUGACCUGUGGCUAGGAGUGAAAGGCUAAUCAAACCGGGAGAUAGCUGGUUCUCCCCGAAAUCUAUUUAGGUAGAGCCUCGGACGAAUACUUACGGGGGUAGAGCACUGUUAAGGCUAGGGGGUCAUCCCGACUUACCAACCCUUUGCAAACUCCGAAUACCGUAAAGUAAUAUCCGGGAGACACACGGCGGGUGCUAACGUCCGUCGUGAAGAGGGAAACAACCCAGACCGCCAGCUAAGGUCCCAAAGUCAUAGUUAAGUGGGAAACGAUGUGGAAAGGCCCAGACAGCCAGGAGGUUGGCUUAGAAGCAGCCAUCCUUUAAAGAAAGCGUAAUAGCUCACUGGUCGAGUCGGUCUGCGCGGAAGAUGUAACGGGGCUAAACUAUGCACCGAAGCUGCGGAUUCAGAAUUUAUUCUGAGUGGUAGGGGAGCGUUCUGUAAGCGGUUGAAGGUGUACCGGGAGGUAUGCUGGACGUAUCAGAAGUGCGAAUGCUGACAUGAGUAACGAUAAUGGGAGUGAAAAACUCCCACGCCGGAAGACCAAGGGUUCCUAUCCCAUGUUAAUCAGGGUAGGGUAAGUCGACCCCUAAGGCGAGGCCGAAAGGCGUAGUCGAUGGGAAACAGAUUAAUAUUUCUGUACUCGAUAUAAUUGCGAUGGGGGGACGGAGCAGGCUAAACAAGCAUGGCGUUGGUAGUCCAUGUGAAAGUGAGUAGGUUGG
rnacentral:rRNA from 1 species